CCGUACUAUCCGGGGAGAUAGCGGUGCCCUGUACCCGCAAUCCGCUACAGCGGGGGAGAAUUCCCGGUUGAGGGUCCCUGUUGUGUGGACUGCCCGUCCGGCAGGAGUGAUGAGAGACAGGUCUUGCGCAAUGUUCCUCCGUGAACCAUGUCAGGCGGGGAACCGAGCAGCAUUAAGCGGACUCGAGCAUGUGCCGCGAGAGCGCCUGUUUUGAGCUUCUUCGGGCGGUACCGCACAUAGCAGCGGGCUCAACGCCGGGUGUGCGG
rnacentral:SRP_RNA from 1 species